rnacentral:rRNA from 1 species
GACAGAGGAUGCAAGCGUUAUCCGGAAUGAUUGGGCGUAAAGCGUCUGUAGGUGGCUUUUCAAGUCCGCCGUCAAAUCCCAGGGCUCAACCCUGGACAGGCGGUGGAAACUACCAAGCUGGAGUACGGUAGGGGCAGAGGGAAUUCCGGGUGUAGCGGUGGAAUGCGUAGAGAUCCGGAAGAACACCGGUGGCGAAGGCGGUCUGCUGGGCAGUUGCUGACACUGAGGCGCGACAGCGUGGGGAGCAAACAGG